UUCCCAGUACUUCUCCUGCUCAAUACCGCAAGAACAAUUCUUUACUUAGAUCCCAGAAACUUGCAGCCCCAAACAAGGAACACAAGAAUUCAAAUGACUUUUAGACCACCAAAAUUAAGACAAUCCCAUUUAGUUGGAUUAUGUGAUAGAAAUGAUAUUUGCAUCCAAGUGUAGACAGAUAAGAAAAGGUGGUUGAUGAGGGCUCACAAAAACCCAAUAAAAUCCAUGAGUGAGAAAAAAUAAACUAUGAUGAUUAAGAACAAGACAUUCAUAACUCAAAGAGUAAAAAUGAUCAGCCAGCAAGCUUUGGUGGUUUUAGCAAAGCUCACAGAACUAGGGCUUUUUUCUUCCUUCCUUUUAGAACCUACACGCAAUAUUUUGGAAGCAGGGGCAGAUUUUUAAGACUAAGCUUCUUAUAAUUCAAGAUGAAACAUGUUAAUCUUCUAUCACGGAAAUAGACAACAGCCAUUGGAGUUCUUAACAACCAUAGCAUAAAAAAUUGAUAAAAACCCAUAAAACAAAUUUAGCUAUAUCCUUAUCUACCAGCUUGUCCACGAAGAACCCCAGGAUCUAAUACUAAGCAAAUAAUUCUAACAGCCAAAGCCAGAAUUGAAACAUAGUAAAAACUAACGAAAAAGCUGAUGGGAAAAUAGUGACGGGAG
rnacentral:misc_RNA from 1 species